rnacentral:snRNA from 1 species
AUUAAAGAGCAUGCGCUCUU